GAUGAACGCUGGCGGCGUGCCUAAUACAUGCAAGUCGAGCGAACAGACGAGGAGCUUGCUCCUCUGACGUUAGCGGCGGACGGGUGAGUAACACGUGGAUAACCUACCUAUAAGACUGGGAUAACUUCGGGAAACCGGAGCUAAUACCGGAUAAUAUAUUGAACCGCAUGGUUCAAUAGUGAAAGACGGUUUUGCUGUCACUUAUAGAUGGAUCCGCGCCGCAUUAGCUAGUUGGUAAGGUAACGGCUUACCAAGGCAACGAUGCGUAGCCGACCGGAGAGGGUGAUAGGCCACACUGGAGCUGAGACACGGUCCAGACGCCUACGGGAGGCAGCAGUAGGGAAUCUUCCGCAAUGGGCGAAAGCCUGACGGAGCAACGCCGCGUGAGUGAUGAAGGUCUUCGGAUCGUAAAACUCUGUUAUUAGGGAAGAACAAAUGUGUAAGUAACUAUGCACGUCUUGACGGUACCUAAUCAGAAAGCCACGGCUAACUACGUG
rnacentral:rRNA from 1 species